UACGUAGGGUGCGAGCGUUGUCCGGAAUUACUGGGCGUAAAGAGCUCGUAGGUGGUUUGUCGCGUUGUCCGUGAAAACUCACAACUCAAUUGUGGGCGUGCGGGCGAUACGGGCAGACUGGAGUACUGCAGGGGAGACUGGAAUUCCUGGUGUAGCGGUGGAAUGCGCAGAUAUCAGGAAGAACACCCGUGGCGAAGGCGGCUCUCUGGAACGCAACUGACGCUGAGACGCGAAAGCGUGGGGAGCAAACAGG
rnacentral:rRNA from 1 species